CAGCCUGUAAGGCCAGUUGUUAUUCUGACACAGUUCGUGUUGGUGGGUUGGUUUGUGGCGUUUGGUUUGUGUUGUUUGAAAGAUGUUCAUCCGGGGACAUGUACCUGCGUUCCUUUUGGCCCCAACGGGACCGCUGUAACUUGUAAAGAAAUUAAGCAAGUGCCACGUGAUUUACCGUCCAAUACGGCACAUUUAAUUCUCUCGGCAAAUCAUUUGAGGUCGAUAGAAGAAGACGCCUUUAGAAAUCUAACAUUACUCAAGGCCAUAGAUCUAUCAAGGAACAGCUUGAAGUCAAUUCCACAAAACACUUUCCGUAAUCUGAACUUACUGACAUACAUGCAAGUAGAGUUAAUCUGAUUUUUGUUACAGUCAAACUGGAUCUUUGGUCACGAGCUCUUUCAAUGUGCCAUGUAGAUUUGCUUUGCCUAACUUGCUGUACAUUGUUAGUUCAACGUUAGACCCACUCUAGAGAUUCGACUAUUCCACAAUU